AUGGCGGUGAACAUAAACGGUGAGAUUGGCCCCUACUUCCCCACAUUCUGUGGGGUCCGGCAGGGCGAUCCCUUCUCUCCGUUUCUCUUCAAUGUGGUUGUUGAUGCGCUAGCGUACAUCCUUGAUAAGGCCAAAGUGGUUGGGCAUAUUAGAGGCAUUGACCCACACCUGGUAGGCCGGAAUGGGAUUUCCCUUCUCCAAUACACGGAUGACGCAAUUAUAAUGGUGGAAGGCUCAGCGAACGACAUCAUGAACCUGAAGUUCCUCCUGCUAUGCUUUCAGCACAUGUCUGGCCUCAGGAUCAACUUUGAUAAGAGUGCGGUCAUGGUCUUGGGAUACAAGAUGAACGAACGUCAGAGCAUCGCGGACCGCCUUAACUGCCAGCUUGGGUGCUUCCCCACAACAUAUUUAGGGAUCCCCAUUAGUGACACGAGGCUCACGGUGGCCGAGCUGCACCCCACGGUGGGGAAGCUUCAGCACCGCAUUGAACCUUGGUAG
rnacentral:rRNA from 1 species